AGAGUUUGAUCCUGGCUCAGGAUGAACGCUAGCGGCAGGCUUAACACAUGCAAGUCGAGGGGUAACAUUGUGCUUGCACAGAUGACGACCGGCGCACGGGUGCGUAACGCGUAUAGAACCUACCUUUUACAGGGGAAUAGCCUUUAGAAAUGAAGAUUAAUGCCUCAUAGUAUUGAGUAUUCGCAUGAAUAUUUAAUUAAAGAUUUAUCGGUAAAAGAUGGCUAUGCGUCCUAUUAGUUAGUUGGUAAGGUAACGGCUUACCAAGACAGCGAUAGGUAGGGGUCCUGAGAGGGAGAUCCCCCACACUGGUACUGAGACACGGACCAGACUCCUACGGGAGGCAGCAGUGAGGAAUAUUGGACAAUGGAGGAGACUCUGAUCCAGCCAUGCCGCGUGCAGGAAGAAUGCCCUAUGGGUUGUAAACUACUUUUAUACAGGAAGAAACACUGGUAUGUAUACCAGCUUGACGGUACUGUAAGAAUAAGGACCGGCUAACUCCGUGCCAGCAGCCGCGGUAAUACGGAGGGUCCGAGCGUUAUCCGGAAUCAUUGGGUUUAAAGGGUCCGCAGGCGGUCGAUUAAGUCAGAGGUGAAAUCCCAUAGCUCAACUAUGGAACUGCCUUUGAUACUGGUUGACUUGAGUCAUAUGGAAGUAGAUAGAAUGUGUAGUGUAGCGGUGAAAUGCAUAGAUAUUACACAGAAUACCGAUUGCGAAGGCAGUCUACUACGUAUGUACUGACGCUGAGGGACGAAAGCGUGGGGAGCGAACAGGAUUAGAUACC
rnacentral:rRNA from 1 species